AUUGAACGCUGGCGGCAUGCUUUACACAUGCAAGUCGAACGGUAACAGGCCGCAAGGUGCUGACGAGUGGCGAACGGGUGAGUAAUGCAUCGGAACGUGCCCAGUCGUGGGGGAUAACUACUCGAAAGAGUAGCUAAUACCGCAUACGAUCUAUGGAUGAAAGCGGGGGACCGUAAGGCCUCGCGCGAUUGGAGCGGCCGAUGUCAGAUUAGGUAGUUGGUGGGGUAAAGGCUCACCAAGCCAACGAUCUGUAGCUGGUCUGAGAGGACGACCAGCCACACUGGGACUGAGACACGGCCCAGACUCCUACGGGAGGCAGCAGUGGGGAAUUUUGGACAAUGGGCGCAAGCCUGAUCCAGCAAUGCCGCGUGCAGGAAGAAGGCCUUCGGGUUGUAAACUGCUUCUGUACGGAACGAAACGGCUCUGGUUAAUACCCGGGGCUAAUGACGGUACCGUAAGAAUAAGCACCGGCUAACUACGUG
rnacentral:rRNA from 1 species